UUCCCUGUAGCGCAAUGGAUAGCCCGUUGGCCUUCUAAUCCAAAGGUCAUGGGUUCGAAUCCCAUCUGGGAUG
rnacentral:tRNA from 1 species